GCUGAAACCCCCAGGGAGGGCAGAGCAGCAAACCUCCCGGCAGAGCGCAGGACUGGGGUCAGGAGGUCUGGGGUCCUGGGGGACUGCCCUGGGCCUGCCAGAUCUCCUGGGGGUUGCGGGUGGGGGCUUGGUCUGUUCACCCAAUUGUCAAGGUGGGGCCCCAAAACAUUUAUUCAUUCAGCAAAUACUGACGGGUACUCACUUUGUGCAGGGAAAUCUUCCAGUCUUGGGGACACAGCAGUAACCAAGAUGAUCAAAUUCUCAAGGCUAUGAGACUUCCAUUCUGAUUGGGGCAGAGGCAGUAGAUAUACAAUGAUGCAAGUAAACAAACAACACGGUCUCAGUCUGUGAUAUGUGCCAGAAAGAAGACGAAAUGAGGACGGAAUGGGUAAGGGCUUGGAGCUGUAAGUCAGGGAGGCUUCUUGGAGGAGGAGCCAUUUGAGCAGAGACCUGAAUGACGCGAAGCAAUCAGCCAAGGGAAGGAGUGGAGGGGAAGCUUUCUGGCAGAGGGAGGAACAUGUGGAAAGUCCCUGGGGCGCAAAGGAGCAUGUUGAGUUUGCGAAACAGCAAAAAGUCAGUGUGCCUGGAGCUCGCAGAGGGAUGGGAGAGGACUGGAGAUGAGGGAGAAGCACUCACAGGACCAGAUUGUGCAGGACGUGCAGGACAGGGUAAGAAGGACAUAGACAGCUCCACAGCCUUCCCCUGCUCUAGAAUCCACCAUCUCCAGAUGGAAGGGGAGUGGCCCACUUCGUAGGCCUCUCAUGACUGGGUCCAGAAAGGGGAAGGCCCAAUGCUUAGACAGAGCCAUGUCCUGGGAAUUCUCAGCUUGACCUGGACUUGUCACUUUGCUCUCCCUUCUGGUCUGCCGGAAUUACUCACACCUGCACUCGAAAUCUGGCCUCCUUAUCCAGGCAUUUGAGGCCGUGACACAAAACCUGGGCCAUUUCUAUCAGCCCCAUGUUGCUCCAUAAACUCCCUGCCAGACAGACAACCCACCCAAACCCACACCACUUCCAUCUUCCCCUCAGCUGCCUUCCCACCAUCCCUUCAUCUUUCCUCACAGCCCAACAUCUACUCAUUCUUCAAGGACAGCUCAGAUCUCCCCACUCCGUGAGACCUUCCCCGGCUCUGCUACAAGCAAACAGCCUCCUACCGGCUCCCAGGACUACGGGGCCUCCCCACACCGUGUGCACAGGUGGCCUCCACUCAGAUCUUGCUCCCUCCACAUUGACUGGUGAUGGCAGACGGCUCCGACUGUGGGCUCUCUGGCAUACCUCUCUGCACCCUGGACGCUACCAUACACUCCAGCGGAACGAUGAUCUUGUCAGGCUUGGUUCGCUGUGCACACCGAGCCCCUCACUCAGUGCCUGGCAUACAGUAGGAGCUUACUAAACAGCUGUCAGCCGCUGAAACCCAAGAUCAGGUCCACAUCUGUCUCGGUCCCUCCAGGACCUUGAGCCCAGUCCAGAGCCUGGUCCAGAGAAGGUGCUCAGUAAACAUCUGGAGACUGAAAGCCAAGUCACCCUGUGGAGAGCAGCGGUUUUUUCUGAGUGGACUUCAGUGGCCUUGGCUGACUCCCUUGUGGGUGUCUGCAGACCCGGCCCUCAGAGCCUCUGCGUGUUGAAGGCACACAGCACCUGCAGGGAAACAGGCCCUUGCCUCUGUCGGCUCCUCCUGCUACUGAGAGACCAGCUCAGAGGCCAGGACAGCAGCUCAGAAGGGGAGGAAAGGAACGGAGACCUGUGGGCUGGUCCUCAGUGAGGCCUGGCCCAGGAGGGAGACCCUCCCCAGCAGAUCAUGAGAGCUGUGCACCUUGCCAGGAUGGUGGCGCUCAGCAAACGCCUACCUGAGGUCAUCUGCAGAGCCCCCUCUCAGGGCAGCGAGGCAGCCUGCCAGGAUUCCCCUGCAUCAGGAGCUCUGUUUUAAAACAUCUGUUGAUCCACGUAAGAAUGAUACAGGGAAGAGGCUCUCCGAGCGCACCGAUGCUUCAAAAGGCCUCAAAAAUUAGAAUUGCUGUCACGGCCUCUGCACUUCCCAGUCCAGGCCUUUUGUUUGGGUCUCCCUAUGUGGCCACCAGGGGGGCUAAUGCCCUCCAGCCACAUGCUCAGCUUUGCUGGCCAGACAAUGGCCUCUGAAUAGGCCCAUCCAGAGUGCCCUUUUGAGUGAUAGAACCCAGUGCAACAGCGGAGACUCUAGGAAACUAAGCCUGCGGGCUCCAGGGCCUGGGGCAGGCGUUGCUCAUUGACCAGGUUUGGGUGGUGUGGGGCACACAAAGUCAGGGGGGGACACACAGCCAGGGUCCCUCCACCUUCCUUGUUAAAUAUGGAGCCACAGGCCUUGCCUAAUUAGCCGGCCCUGUUGGUACAAGGAGGAGGGGAAGCAACAGGGAAGAUAGAACAUGACCUCCAAGCCCGUGGUCAGUCCCUGGCUCCGAGGCCUUGUCCCACCUCUUGUCCAGAUUUGACACUUCCAAAGGGCUGGACAUGCAGUCCUGGACCCAUGCCAGCCUCCGAAGCUGCCUCCUUCUUGAAGAUGGUGAACCCAGCCCAAAGGUCCACCCAGCUUUCUAGAGUGAAGGGAGAGGAUUAAAGUGCUGCCCGGUGAGACCUGGAAGACCUGCUCUGCAUCCCAGGCUCACUCUUGACAUGCUGUGCGUUCCUUGGUAAGUCACUGAACCUCUCUGAGCCAAUUCCUCCUGUGAAAUGGGGGUGGUGAUAGCUAUACCUAACCUUACAGAAUUGCAACAUGGCUUUAAUGAGAUCUGGCUCAUGAAGUGCUUUGGAAGUUAAGUGGCACCCACAGGCCACCCUUACUGUCAUCUGGGCAUCAUGGUCUUCAUGGGUGCCCCAUCAGCACCAGCUGCCCGGGCAGGCACCGGGCUAGGUACUUUGCAAGUGUUUUGUCAUCUUUAUGUCUCUGCAUGGUAGGGUUCGUCCUCACCUUAUGAGGGACAGACUGAGAGCAGUGAAGGCCUGGCCCACAACCACACAGCUUCUGUAAAUCCAGACUGGCCCACGGCUUGGCCCACCCGCACCAGCAGUCUCCAUUGUCAGUUCCCUUCCAGAAACCUAUAUGGAGGCUGGGCGUGGUGACUCAUGCCUGUAAUACCAGCACUUUAAGAGGCCAAGGCAGGAGGAUUGCUUGAGGCCUGGAGCUCGAGACCAGCCUGGGCAACAUAGGGAGAACCUGUCUCUCACAAAAAAAUUUUAAAAAUUAGCCAGCAUGGUGGCACAUUCGUAUAGUCCCAGCUACUCAGGAGGCUGACAUGGGAGAAUCACUUGAGCUCAGGAGGUUGAGGCUUUAGUGAGCUAUGAUUACACCACUGCACUCCAGCCUGGGUGACAGAGUAAGACCUUGUCAAGG
rnacentral:lncRNA from 1 species